AGGGCCGAGCCUGGGAUGGGGGUUCAGCUGAGGCUGGGGGUAGGACCGGUCCGAGGCUGCGGAGAGUUCUGGUCGGAACAGGGGCCGGUGCGGAGGGGAGGUCCAGCUACGGCACCGGUGUGUGGCCUGGCCGGUUUAGGGACAAGGAGCAGGAGCUGUCUACCAUCGGGUGCUGAUCGGCCCAGUUGGAGCUGUCCGCCCUCGGGUGCUGAUCGCUAUGGGCUGGAGCUGUCUGCACCUGGGGCUUAUCCGCUCGCAGAUGCUGAUCCGGCACGAAAGAGCUGUCCCCAAUAG
rnacentral:lncRNA from 1 species